GAUGAACGCUGGCGGCGUGCCUAAUACAUGCAAGUCGAGCGAAUGGAUUAAGAGCUUGCUCUUAUGAAGUUCGCGGCGGACGGGUGAGUAACACGUGGGUAACCUGCCCAUAAGACUGGGAUAACUCCGGGAAACCGGGGCUAAUCCCGGAUAAUAUUUUGAACUGCAUGGUUCAAAAUUGAAAGGCGGCUUCGGCUGUCACUUAUGGAUGGACCCGCGUCGCAUUAGCUAGUUGGUGAGGUAACGGCUCACCAAGGCAACGAUGCGUAGCCGACCUGAGAGUGUGAUCGGCCACACUGGGACUGAAACCCGGCCCAGACUCCUGCGGGAAGCAGCAGUAGGGAAUCUUCCGCAAUGGACGAAAGUCUGACGGAGCAACGCCGCGUGAGUGAUGAAGGCCUUCGGGUCGUAAAACUCUGUUGUUAGGGAAGAACAAGUGCUAGUUGAAUAAGCUGGCACCUUGACGGUACCUAACCAGAAAGCCACGGCUAACUACGUGCCAGCCGCCGCAGUAA
rnacentral:rRNA from 1 species